GCCGACAUAGCUUAGUGGCAGAGCACUACUCUUGUAAAAUAGAGGUCGCGAGUUCGAUCUUCACUGGUGGCU